GGAGACAACAUCUACCUGUGGUACUACAGAGGUAACUCAGAGUACGAUGUUCCCAUUGUGAACCUUCAUGUCUCUAUAGAUGCAAGGGAGGAAGCCCUAAUGUUCGCACUUGGAUGGGAGAGACUGGCCUGUGAUCUGAACCGGAAAGCUAGAGGAAAAUGGAUCUACCUGUGGGUGAAGAGGGAGAGACCAACCUACAUCUGUGACAUCGCUGCCAAUGCUGACUAUGAUGGAGACGCUGACUACUUCCGGAACGGCUACAUCAGAGUGGACGAAGAUACCAACAGAGGUGCAGAAGGAUCCUUUGUCUUCAUCUGGUACCGUCAGACCAAUAACUCUCAAAGAGCCAUCACAGAUCUGCAGCUCUCCACUAACGAUAUAGAGAAGAUGUUGUUUCCCUAUAUGGGCUUUACAAGGGUAACUACUGAUCUAAGCAAGGGGGCAGGAGGAAGUUACUGGGAACAACGGUAAUACACUGUACCUGACCUUCAGUUCGUUUUAGUAACAGAGCUGGGAAUGCUCACUGGGCAGAAACCAAAGAGUCUAUGGUGUUCCUGUUUAACCAGUUUGAUUGUUUUUCUUUCCUUGCUGAAAUGAUUUGACUCCAACAAUGAUCAUUGAUCCUACAGUCAAUCUGUUCGAUUAGCUCUGUCUCACUGUAUUCUGAUGAUUGUCACUGUUUCAAUAAAGUCUGUUCAGAAUAUGAAA
ensembl:lncRNA